CGUUCCCAUACCGAACACGGAAGUUAAGCUUCUCAGCGCCGAUGGUAGUUAGGGGCUGUCCCCUUGUGAGAGUAGGACGUUGCCGGGC
rnacentral:rRNA from 1 species